rnacentral:lncRNA from 1 species
GUCCGGUUCUGGCAGGUGUGUGGACCCAGGCACUGGGAAGACUCAGCGAGCCACUGGAAGAGCCUCAUCUUCAGAGUUGGCCCCACGCCCUUCUAACUUGUCCCCUGUUUGUUGUUUGUCAUGAAGGCUGAGGACACUGAGCUCCAGGUGAAAACAUGUUCCUUUUUCCUUAGUGAAGACCGAGGCGGUUUCAGGGGAUUGUCCCCUCCAGGGUCUGCUACACUGUCUGAAGGAGCUCCCCGAGGCCCAGGACAGGCAUCCCAGUCCCUCAGGAGUGGGGAACCGACGGCUACAGGAGAAUCCAGGAGCCUGGAAAAGGGGUUCUGGAGGGCCUGGAUACCUCCUGACCCCUCCUCCCCAUCCUGAUCUUGGAGCUGGCGGUCUGCUCUCUGUGAAGAUGGAGAACAGCUGGGUCCAGAGCCCCCCAGGACCUGCAUCCUGUCAGCCUGGCAGGCAGCCCCUCAGUCCCUCAGCCACUGGAGACACCAGAGGGGUCCCCCAACCCAGCUGGGGCCCUGAGGCUCAAGCUGCCAGUGCCUCAAGCUCACCGCUGGAAGCCCUGGAAGCCUGUCUGAAGGGCAUUCCCCCAAAUGGGUCGUCACCUUCCCAGCUGCCACCCACUUCUUGUUCCCAGAACCCCCAGCCAGGAGACUC